CCCAAGACAGCUCAGUAAGAAUUUGUUUCCUUCCUUCCCUUUGUGCACAGUCGGCCACAACUGAACGUGGAUGUGUUUUUCUCCCACAGCUCAGGGCUCAGGAGCUGGAGAGGGAAAUCUCUGAAUUGAGAAGGGAAAACUCUGACCUGAGAAGGGAAAACUCUGACCUGAGAAGGGAAAACUCCUCUGAGCUGAGAAGGGAAGUUGCCCACCUGAAACAGAGAUUGGAUGCAAUCUGCAGACGGAGGCAGGCAGAGGAAUACAUGAGGCAGGAUCCCACUCCAGGAGGACCGUACAGGCUGCACCCUCCCCUGAGAGCUUCAGGGCCGGGUGGCACCCCUGUUAGGAAUGGCACCGCCUUUCCGGCUCCGAAGGCAGAGGAAAAA